GUUGAAGAACGCAGCGAAAUGCGAUAAGUAGUGUGAAUUGCAGAAUUCAGUGAAUCAUCGAAUCUUUGAACGCACAUUGCGCCCCUUGGUAUUCCAUGGGGCAUGCCUGUUCGAGCGUCAUUUGUACCUUCAAGCUCUGCUUGGUGUUGGGUGUUUGUCUCGCCUCUGCGUGUAGACUCGCCUCAAAACAAUUGGCAGCCGGCGUAUUGAUUUCGGAGCGCAGUACAUCUCGCGCUUUGCACUCAUAACGACGACGUCCAAAAGUACAUUUUUACACUCUUGACCUCGGAUCAGGUAGGGAUACCCGCUGAACUUAAGCAUAUCAAUAAGCGGAGGA
rnacentral:misc_RNA from 1 species